AGGAGGUAGGGGAAAGCUGCUUUACUGCUGUUUAGGUGCCUUGCUGAAACUGCUGACUCGGCCAGCAAGCUUCACUGCUGACCACUGACCCGGAUCUACAAAUAUGAGUAAUGAGAUCAUUCGCCUGUGCUUCCAAAGCAUCUCUCUGGACAGGCUCUUCGAGGGCUACGUGAUUUUCAGCAAGCAAAACCUCAGCAACUGUAUUCAGUGCUGCCUGGCCUGGAAGGAAAUUUACCUGCACGCCUCGCAGAUUGACCACAAAUAUCACACCAGUGAGCUUGUGACCCACGCAGCCAAUAUCACAGUCAGUCCACACACCGGGUUCAGUCACAGGGCAGGGAGAGAAAGCAGAAGGGAGGGAGGAUGAAAUGAGGAAGAAGGGAGAAGUCAACAAGGGACUAUCAAGAAAUGUGGCAUAUCAGGAGCCAUGUCGAUGAUUUCUACUCCAGCCAGAUUCCUCGUCGUGCAGCCUGUCAGAGCUACAGAGACAACAGCUUUCGGCCUCAUCACACAACACCUUGCUCUCAUAAGGUAUCCUCCAAAGGCUGGGUCUUGGACCAAACCAGCAUUUUUGUUCUGGUUGAUGCCUUCGUUCAAAGGUUAAGAGACCUGCUCGAGAAUUCAGCCAAGCCCAUACCUUUUGUCAUACAAAGUGUGGCUAUCUGUCAUCUCUCCGGUGGGAAUGCAUUGUCUGUUUUGUUUGUCCUCCUCUCCUUUUGUUACCCAUGACCUUGCUGUGGUGCUGUCUCCUUCUGUCCUGAGCUGGCUCGCUUGUUGGGCUGCACUGCAUAAACAAAAAGUCAUGUAAUUCUUUUUUUUUUCUCAAUUUUGAGAUCACAAGGUAAAUGCUCUACAUCAAAGACAGCAUUUCUUACAAGAGAAAUGUGCAUCUAAUUCGGCAUGUGCCUUCAGAAUACAUUGGUUUGCACCCUUUGUAAAUGACUGUUUGCCCUGAAAAAAAAACCUUUGGAUUUAAUUGAUUGCAGGGUUAUGAUGCAGCGCCAUUCACCGCCGCCCUCACAAAUUGCCAUGUCUAUGACCUUUAACAUAUUUUAGCUUAACCUUUUUCCCAUAUUAUUUCCUUUUCUAUUCAUAUAUUUCACAUCUCCUCUCUUUCCCUGCUAUUGUUGACCAAGGCUCUCUGAGGACUUUGACAGAAGAUAUCGUUGAAUGCAGAUGUCCCCCUUUACAAAUCCAUGAGAUGUGACCUUGAAUACGUUUAUUCCUCAAACCGUACAGUAUUUUCUCAAUCCUUAUCAUAUACAACACAUAACUUAUACAUACUCCCCUUGCAGAACAGUAUGGAUGUGUUUUCUCCUUUCACAUCUAUUCUACACUGCCUUUGCUCCCUCCUAUUUCAUCUCUAUGAUCCACCUGCAGCUAUUUUACAUAGAUUAUACUACAUUAUGCCAUGCAGAGCAGUGUUGCUACUUAACAUCUUAUUCAUACUUGUCCUUAUCUUAACCCGUCUCUCCAUAAUAGCUUUGGCAUGUGGGAUAUCAUUUUCUCUUUGCCACGUGACUGCCAGUAGCAGCUUGCCCGUUGGGAGGAGGGUCAGCAGAGGGUCCUGCCGCACUUCGGCGGGCACCAGGGGCCAGAGGUCACCCGCUGCGUGCUGGAGAUACAGAGCAACCUCCACCACUGCCUACAGAUUGUGCACUUUGUUGGCACAGGCAUCCUAGACGUCAAAACACCACCUGGCACAAUGAUUACAACAGAGUGAAGUCAUGAAGGUGAAGACCUGACCCUCCAGGGACUCAUGCUCUCCCUUUCCCUCCCUGUAUCAUCUAACACAUCACCAAAGGUCUCAGGAAAAGGGGUCUGCUGGCAGCAUAUGUGCUUCAGAAGGCCUACUUCAUGCCUGAGACAUACAGCCACAAGCAGUUUGUUUUGGCCUGUAGCCAGAUGUUCCAAAACCUGGAACAUCUGGCUACAGAUGAGAUGGGGAGGAGGCCUGGACUGACAGAGCUGCUGGAGCAGCCAUUAAUGAACUGCAAAGGGAAGCAGCGAAGAAAGGAGUGAGGGACUGGGAAAUAGAGAAGACGAGAUGUUGGACGAAUGCUCCAGGACUGGGUGAGCCACACAAAGAAAGUGGACUGCAUGUCUUCAGGGUCCCGGUAGCGCUGCACCAGGGAGCCCCCUAGACCUCAGCGAAGAGCACACCCAGGUGAUGUAGAGACUACAGUUGCCACAAGAGCAACAGCCUGUUGACCUGCAGGCCCGCCUAAAGGCCUGUGGACCUGGACAGCACCGCCAGAGACUCAACCUGCCAAUCUUUUUACAGAAAAAGGCCAACACCGUUCAACAGGAAGAGACGGUAUUGAACAUCCAGUUUAUCAUGCUGCACUAUUCACCACUCAAGUCCUCAUAACACCUGCCUCAAAGAACUUAAUGCCAAGAGGUAGGGAGUGGAAUAAAAUUAGUCUUUGAGCUUUUUCAGUAAAUAAUAUUGUUGAACUUUUGCAGGUGAGAAGGUAAUCAAGAAAAAAUUAGGUAUUUUCCUGAUUCUGCCAUUGCAGCAUCUUCUGUUGGUUUUUCUUCCAAAACAAUAUAUAUCAAGCAGCUUUUGCCUGUUGACUGAUUUUAUAUGAAGUGAGAAUAUAGUAUCUGCUGACCUAGAAGUGUCUAUAUAGUGAGCAGGGAAAGUAUUUAUUGCUAUAUAAAUUUACUGGCUACUGACAGUGAAAUAGAGGCAAGACUUUCAUUCUGGCCUGAGAAGAAUGAAGAGGAGUUUGAUCUUGGUGCUUUUCUGUCAACUGUGUUGUUGUAGUACACACUAGAAGAUAAUCUCUAAUCUUCACUAUUUGAAAGCAAGAGGCAGACCACACAUAUUUAUUUUUUGUUUGUGUUGUCAAUCAGGGAGUUGAUAAGCUUUCAUUUGUAAUGAGAAGACAAGUUAAGUAUCUGAUUGGUAUCCUGUUUACUUAAAUUGAAGAUCUUUCGACAUAUGCUGGUAUUUUCUAAUGACACUCGCUGGAACCCUUUCUGGACGUAUCUAAAAUGACCAAACUGGAGAGUGUCACUGUGUCUGGGCCAUGUCACAUCUUAAAAAGCUCAGCUGUCUGAUGCAGGCAGGCAAAUCACUCCAUGUUAUUUGAGUGUGAGCCACCUCCCCAGACACUGGUGGAGCUUCCUGAGAGCCUGAAGCUCUUGGAGACUCUCCAGGGAGAUUUGGCCAAGACAGAGGCUCAGAUUCCUCUCAUCCAUGAACAGUUUGCUAUCCUGGACAAAUAUGAGAUCCCAGUGGAAGAGGCUGUGAGUAUCUCAAUGAUAAAUUAAAAAAAUGUGAACACGUAUUCAGCAAAUAAUGCAUAAUGGGAUGUUUAUAUAGAUAUAGAUGUAGAUUAGAUAUUGACCACAUUUUCUGUUAACAUCGACAUGAUGACUUCUAAACAUUCACAGUGAGAGCAGGUGCCUUCCGUCGCUAUGUUAUACUUACAGAGUGCAAAUUAAAAUGCCUGUCAUACUUUGUGCUACUGAUCGUAAUAAUUGUGCAGGGAUGCAGGGAAAGAAAUUACUCACUUGCUCCUAAAAAGAGAGAUGUGACCCAGUAACAAGAAUUUGUUCUAUUAACAUAACAUCAUUUCGCCUUCAUGUUAAUCUGUAACGAGCUUUUGAAAGACUUUCUGACCCCACUGAAGUGAAAUAUGAAAUCUAUUUAUACUUUCACCAAAACACCAGUGGAAGUCAGUGGUAUACAUUCACAUGAAUAUGCACACCAAGAAGAAGAUCAUCCUCAUCCAUAUUCCAGUUCGACUCGCUUCCCCACCGGUGCAGGACUUUCACCGGGUGCCGCUGUGGGUGUGGUUCCAGCAGGUGUUGGCUGACAGCUACUUCAUACCAAAGAAUACAAGAAGCACAAGAACAUCCUCAUUUUGAGUACUCACUAACAUACUCUCACAGAUACAUGUCCAUUGGAGGCUCUGAAACAGGAGGAGAGCACCGUCCUUCACAGCCUGGGCUUCUUUAAGAUCGAACUGCCCUCCCUCACAAACAAUGGGGAUGCUGGAUAAGAACAAGCAGUUAAUCCGCAGAAGGAAAGUGUGCCAAGUGUGUGAAUCAGAUAUUGCAUUAGAAUGCCAACUGGAACAUCUGGGCAGGCUGCCAGUUUGCUAUGCUGCAGACUGUUAGCACAGCACAGGACUCCACAAACUCCAGAGACAACUCAAGGAACUGGACCCAGACCUGAGCUGCAGUGCUCCUUUGACCAAUCCAGCGCUGAAUUCACCCUGGACAAGAUCAUAUCUCUGGGCUUCAACAAGUAUGGUGACAGCAUCUGUGAGAUCUCUUGGACUGCCAGCGAGGAGCUCUCCAUAGGACAGCUCCUGACUAAAAAGGUGUUCAUCCUGUACUUCCUGGCGGUGCAGCAGCUGUCUAAAUAGGACCGCUAUGGUUUUGGCCUGUGUGCCCUCACCUCAUUGCUGCGCUACACUGAAAAGAAACUGUGGUCUUCCCAACAGUGUUGCUGUUGAAGAGAACCUGUUAAUGGCUAUGAAUGACAUGAACAUCGCUAAGCUGACCUCUACUGACCUGCCGCUGUUUAAUGGGAUCAUCCAGGACUUGUUCCCCCUGCUGUGGAAACACCCGCUAUGGGCUGUGGCAAGGUUGGUAUCCUCUGAGCUCAAGGACAAUGAGCACAGUAGAGCUAUACGGGAAAAAAAAACAACCUCAGCAGCAACAACUGAGUGCUUUCUUCCCUCAUGAGAUCAGCCUGCGCAGCCUCUCUUCCUGCCCAAACUCAUUCCUCCCUACUGGACAGAGACGGGGAGAGUUAGCAGGAGGUUGGUGAGUCAGAGGACACUAUGUUGCCAGCAUUGUGUAGACACCAAGAACAAAACCUGGUCUUCAUUUGAAGAUAAGCUGCCAAAGGGCUGGUGUUAUGCUGCCAAACCUCGACUAAUAGCAUCCAGGCCAUCGUAGAGAGCCACAUAAACAGAACCAAUUGCAUGUUUAUGCCAGCAGGUGGGAAGCCCCUGCUUUGCUUCCUGGAUGACCUCAACAUGUCCGCCCAUGACCUCUUUGGCCCUCCGCCACAACUGGAGCUGCUGCGCCUCUGGAUUAACUGGUCUGCUGAGAGUUCACCCAGACUUCCCUAUCAUAUCAAAGACAUCAUCACCAGCCUGGAUCCAUGAGUGCCUCAGGAAGCGUGGGCAUCAAGCAGGACCACGGCAGCACGGGGUCCACAACCACAAUACACGGAAGCCCGCGAUCCAUAACCAAGCAAUCCACGACCAUGAGCCAUAGAAACCUGCAAAGCACAAAAACUCCGGGGAAGAAGCCAGGUCAGAUUUCCUGAGUGAACCUCAUGUGUAUGAGGACCUUCUGGACAUGAAGCGUCUUAAGUUCAUGGAGGCCCACUGGAGGACUACAGCCUGACGCCUGGCCAUUGAUCACUGCGUCUGGGAACACAACACACACAUGCACACACUCAAAUACAUACACCAAAGGUGGCAACUGUGUUGUCUCCUCUUCCAGCAAACAGUGCAGCAAAUUUCCCUGAUGCAUUAAUCCACAGCGUCACAUUCUGUCCAGUCAAUCCAGUACACAAUCAAUAUAAGACAUCCUCAUCUGCUGUACUCAGAUGUGUUUGCUGUGUUCACUGUUUGCCAGUUAUAUGAUUCAGGCCCAGUUUGAAACUCCUUUGAAAAACACAGCAUGAUGUGCUGCUAAAAGCCACCCUGUAGUUGAAAGAGAGAAGGCCUCUCAGCACCAGGCUCUGCUCUCUACAUUCUGCUGUCAAUGUGCCACUUUACCACAUGCUACUGCAAAUCAAUAGCACUACAUUACUAUAGAAAACAACAUGCAUCGCCACUCCACUGAUAACUUUUCUGUAUGUGUAUGUUUGUGUUUUAGUGCAUUUAGUUUGUAUUUGGCUGUGGGUAUUGUGUGUGUUGUAAAUAGUGCAGGGAUUUUCAUCUGCAUUGAAGACCCAGUUCAUGACAUUUAGCUCCAAAAAACCCUACAGAAUAGGGAAUCUGGAGUGAUUUUUUGGUAUGAAUAGAAGGUUGGUGACUAAUCAAAAGCUCCACUGCUGCAAAUGAAAGAACUUCGCAAUAAUAAAAUAUGAUUGCAAUCAAGCAGAAAGUGGUUAUAACUAGUACGAACCCUUUGUCAGUUGGGCAAGUUGUCUUUUGCAGGUCACUUAUUUGAAUACAGGCAAAAGGAGAUCCCAGACAGUGAAAUCCAAAACAGUCAUUUUGAGUGACAUUUGUUUUUUGUGGCCAUGUCGGCAGCAUUAUUUAAUUCAUUAAUUAUAUCAUAAUUUAAUCAUUACAACUCUUCACAUGUAUGUAUAGUACCCAUUCUGUUUACACUGUUGUCCAAGCAUAAGUUCCAGUAGUAUUUUGUGCCCUUUAAGUAUUCAGUCUCCAAUCACAGCAUGAAAGGCAGCCCACUUGCUGAGACUCCAUCCUCAAAAAUGUGGAAAAUCUCAUUGAGCAUGAGUGCAAGAGAGUGUUCAAGCAUUUGUGUGUACGUUUUAAAUUUUCUUUCCAUGUUUUCAGUGGCAUUCAUAUUGUAUCCGUGUGUAUAUGUGUGUGUUUGUAUAUAUUUUGUCCUCAUUCAGGUAGACAGAGCCUGUCUAAGAUGGUCACCUCUAUCUGGGUACCAGGUAUUCCAGGUGAAAAUCACAAAGCACUACUGCAAGCAGGAUUUCAGAGAAGGCUGGUGGCAGGGAAACACAGUAAGUUGGAGGAGCAGGUGUACAAGCUGCAUAGCGGCCUUUUUAAGAUCAGUGACGCACAGGAGAAGGUAGAGGCCAUGUCUGUAGCGCUGGAGGAGGCUAAGAAGCAGGUGGCCGAGUUUCAGAAGCAGUGUCCGUCAAUGUUCAGCAGAAGAUAGAGGCUGACAAGCAGCCGAAGGUACUUGAUGAAGAUGAUCAGAUGGACAACCCCUGUACCAGUUGCCCUGCAGAAUCCAGCUGGGACAAAAUCACAGAGCUGGAUAGCGACAACUGGUUUACCAGAUCUGAGCAAGAGAACGCCACGCUACCAGGUUGUGGAGGAAUCCACCAGCAGUACUCCUCUGAUCUUUGUUCUUUCUCCUGGGGUGGACCCCACAGGAGCCCUGAGGCCUCUGGCAUGAGCAAACACUUCCACGCUCUCGCUCUGGACCAGGGACAGGCCCCCAUUGCCAAGAGCACGAUCAAAGAGGGCGUCAGAAAUGGUCCUCACCAACGCUCACCUCUCUGUCUCCUGGAUGCCUGAGUUGGAUAAGCUGGUGGAACAGCUACAGGUGCAGAAGCACCAAGCAAAUGUCAGACUCAAACUUCAAACUUGCACUCGUAGCCUCCCCAAAUAUCACCAUCCUGCAGUCCAGCAAACAGUUAUACAGACAGUGAGUAAGAGUCUGCUGAGUCUGUACCUUGAUGAGUACGACUUCUGUGAUGCUACCAUCAAACAGCCCUUCUUCAGUGCCGCUGUAUAUCUUCAGCCUCAUCUGGUCCAGGCAGCAACAGCAGCCCUUCAUAGACUCGCUGUCCUCCUUAUUUAUCCCUCCAUCCCUCUCCUCUCCACCCCUCCUUGGCAUGACAGCCUGGCAUUAGUUCUGAUCUCACAGACUCAUGGCUUUAAUUUUGGCCUGCCUGCUUCUCUGUCUUCGGCCAUUUUGUAUCUGAUUUCUUCAAAAGGAACUGCUGUGUGUGUGUUCAGUGGCUGUAUGGCAUAUGUGCAUGCAUAGUAAGAGAUCAUGUCAGUAUUGUAAGCAUGCCUGCUUUCAUUCCUCUAAUCCAAACAUGUGUGUGCAUCUCUGUGAGCAUACAUGUGUUGUUGUUCAUGUAUAUUUCUGUGUGCUUGGGUUAGUACAUGUAUGUUAGUUUAAGAUUAUGCUAAGCCAUGAUUCCCUUAUUAAUAUAUUCAUGGCUGUUCAGGCUGUCAACCAGGGCUGUGCAUCCAUCUAGUCAUGUGUUGGCUUACCUGCACACCUCUUAUUCCCCUUUUCAAAGUAUAAUUUUCAGUUUGCACAUUGGGCAUGUACAAGCACCAAAACUCACCACUGUCACAUGAUAUCAUCAUUAAUAUGUCUCUUAGUGGUAAUUUCAAAUACCGGAACCACAGAGAAAUAUUUUCACUGACUAAGAACUACAUUUAUUUUCAGUUCGAUACACCCACAUAUACACAGAAACACACGCAUGCAGGCACACAUCCAAACAAUGCGGUUAAUCAAGGUGAGGUAAGGGAUAUUUUUAUGCUAAUUCACAUUUCCCUCAAGCUGAAAAAGAGGACAGAGGGAGGGAGCGACUGAAGGAGAAAUGAACCUAUUCAAACAAAUGAAUUCUAAUGAAGCUUUGCAGACAAGACGUUUGGAGUCGCUCAGAGUUGUGGGAGAGAAGGCCCGGACUUCCCCAAUGGAAAGGACUCAGCCCAAACUCCUGAAAAAGGAGGGAGAGAAAAACAAGAGAAGGACCCUGGAGAAAGUGAGCCGGGAGGAAGAAUGGUCCAGUAAUGAGAGAGGGGAACCAGAGGGUGUGUGUGUGUGUUGGGGUGGGGGGUGGGGAGGGUCUGAGUUCAAGGUUGUAUUCAGACUUUAAGGAUUGUCCCCCUGAAAGACCAAACACAGACUUCCUCAGGGUUUAAGAGCCUCUUUAUCAGACCCAGGUCUCUCUCUCUCUCUCUCUUUCUGUGUGUGUGCAUGUACACUGGUGGUCUCUGGUUGGAUGGGAGAUGAAGGGGGGCACUCAAAGCAACAUGCUGAAUUCAAAUUCAAAUAGGCUUAUUCUCAGGCCUGCUUUCAACAAAAAUAUCAGACUUCAGUAGGUGUUUUAUGGAUAAAAGCUUCAAUUGAAAAAGGAGUAGAAUGCAGCUGGUAUAUAGAAACAGUCUAGAUUUCUUAUUUCUUACUGUAUGUUUUGUGACUUCAGAAAAAAGCUAAAAUGAUACAAAUUUGCAUUUUGUAUCAUUUUGUUAGACAUGGUGUGGUGUUCAAACUGUGGAUGUCUCAUUCUGUGUCCACGUUAUCAGUCCAUGGAAAUAUUUGCAGAGGUCAGCAGGAGCCAGAUCCUCCCAUCUGCUUAUCCACUUAUAAACUGUAAACAGGCCUAAUCUAAAAUUCCUAGUUUUUAAAGGAAUGUGUGAACAUUGAAUAAAUGUCAAUGUGUAGGUGUUACAGACUUUCAUACAACAGACCCCUUCAAACUAGAUUCUCUGCAGUCCUGUUAGUAAAAUGAUCUCUGUCACUUUAGUGGGUAAACAUGGUGAAUCAUUUUCUUAUUAUACUGUCUCCUACUAAAUGCUUUAACUGCAGUUUGCUGGCAGACCCCUUGACAACACCCUUAUGCACCCUUUUGUUGGGAAGCAUUAAUGGGUUGUUUUUUUAACUUAGAGUAAGAGCAUGUUCUUAUGUUGGCCAACAUGCUCUUACACUAGUUUUCAGUUUAUUGGGAAAUAACAGGGAUUUAAUAAGACAUUACUAGACUUCUCCAAAGCAAUUUUUUCCUGAUUCCUCAAGCGGCUCUGAGGUCCAGUUGUUCCUCUACAGUUCUCUCAAUAGUUAGUGGAAUUUGUACAAUGUUUGCCAGUGACUAUGGAGGCAGGACAGUUAGUUUUCAAGAGUCUUUCACUGAAAAUAAAAAAUAAAAAGAGGGAAGGUGGAAGGGAAAGAGCCAUUCAUGAGAGACAUUUUUUAUAGACUUAAGGUGUAUAACAUGGUGGACCAUUCGUCUCUGUGAAGUGGAUAUCACUUUUUGUGUAUAAUUGAAGUCGACAUCAAAUUAAGUCAAAGGCAACUGGAUCUGCUGUUUUAUAAUGUGAGUUAUCAUUUUUUCAUUAUCAUUAUUUUCUUUUGCAUUGGAUGCGUUAAUAAGAGGAGAAAGCACUUUUAUGAUUGGGCAUGUCAUGCCCUAACAAUAUGGGACUGGUUGCGUUCAUACCUUAGCUCAGACUUCUGUAUAGAUUCUUGGGCCUGCAUACCCAUCUCACCUUGGAGUGUUCUUAUGAGUAAUGCACAGCAUAGCCCUUAGAACUUAAGGUUUAUUCAAUAAUUUAUCACUCUUGUAAAACUUGGCAGGAUAUUACUCAAUCCAUAGACAGAGAAUAAUUUACAUCUAUGUUAUCUCCUAUGUGAUAAUUGGGACUUUAUUCCUGGAUUUAGGUCUCUUAUCUUUGAAUACUGGAAAACUAAAGGUAUUUAGAUUGUAGGGGAUCUGUUUCAAGAAGGAAAUCUCAUGACAUUUUCUCAAUUACAGCAAAGGUUCAAUUUACCUAAGCAACAUAUAUUUGCAAAUUUGCCAUUUUAUCAAUACACAAACUUUUCCAUUAUACGAUACUUGAUAAACUGCUACUUUUGGCAAGAAAAUGUGUUCUGUUGAAAUGGAUUAAGGACACUCCUCCUACUGUCACAAUGUGAAGUUUUUAAUGUGUUUCCGCAUGAAAAAACGAACUCAAAGGAAAUGUCCAGGAGUUCAUAAACUUGUGGAGGCCUUUCCUGGUUCAGCUUCCUGUUGAAAUGUACUAAUGAAAGAACAUUGUUCUCUGGAAUUGAAGCCUUUGAGAAGGGACAGUGAACUGUGACCAAUGAUGGGACUAAAAGCUAAAGUCUUCUAAGACAAGGAUGUACGGUACAAUGGGGUGGGGCUGGCUGGACUUUUCUGGCCUUGGGUUCUUUUUUGUUUUGUUUUGUUUUGAUUUAGUUUUUUGCUGUUAUGUUGUUGAGUCUUAAUGUAUGUUGAUAUGGGUUAUGUUGAUAUUAUAAAAAAAUAAUAAAAUUAUCAUAAAAAAAGAGGGGACAGCUACAUUCACAUUCCCAUUUUGCCACCCUGGGCUGUGAUCUAUCUGCAUGUCCUCCGUGUCCACGUUUGCACCCGAUAUGGAUGUUGAAUGGGAUUUCAUGGGUUUUUAGGGGGUUGGGUCAUCCGUGGCCGGGAAAUGAGAUGGACUGCUUUGCAGAUUUUCCACUAUUACACUGUUUUAACUGCGAGAGUCAGCACAGCACCUCCCCAGCAGAUUUUUGGAUGACACAAAAGAAGUUUAUCAGAGGCAGGACAGAAACACUGAGCGACCGUAUGGGAAUAUUACAGAGGAUUAAUAACGGAAUGGGUAGUGGAAGGUAUAUAUGUGAUGCAAUGGCUUUGUGGAAGAAGUAUGUAGAUAGUGCACAAUGUCAUGUCAUAUUUCACCAAUGAAAUGUUUCCCUACGAUCCUUUAUAAAUCAGCUAAACGUUAAAUGUUUAGCUAAACUUCAUUUAAGCAUGCAGGCUGAAUAUUUAACUGACUGAAUGAAAUGGUUUUUGGAUAUUUAUGUUUUAUUUGAAAGAGCAUCGUAUCUGUUUGUACUUCACACUUUCUCCUUACUAUCC